rnacentral:rRNA from 1 species
GACGAACGCUGGCGGUGUGCUUAACACAUGCAAGUCGAACGAUGAUCUCCUGCGUGCGGGGGCGAUCAGUGGCGAACGGGUGGGUAAUACGGGAGUAACCUGCCCUUUACUCUGGCAUAAGCCUGGGAAACCGGGUCUAAUACUGGAUACUACUUCCUGCCUCCUGGUGGGGGCUGGGAAGGGUCUUACUGUGCUUGGAUGGGCUCACGGCCUAUGAGCUUGUUGGUUGGGUGAUCGCUCGCCAACGCGACGGCGGGUAGCUGGCCGGAGGGGGUGACCGGCGGCCCUGGGACUGAGAGGCGGCACAGACGCGUACGGGUGGCAGCUGUGCGGAAUCUUGCUCCAUGCGCACCGGCCUGAUGCAGCGAGGCCGCGUGAGGGAUGACGGCCUUCGGGUUGUAGACCGCUAUCAGCAGGGAACACGCCACAAGUGACGGUACCUGAAGAAGAAGCGCCGGCUAACUACGUG